rnacentral:lncRNA from 1 species
UUGUUCGGGUAUCCUUCCCCAGUGUGGAAGCUUUAGUUCUUUUGCUCUUUGCAAUGAAUCUUGCUGCUGCUCACUCUUUGGGUCCACGCUGCGUUUACACUGUGUUUAUGAGCUGUAACACUCACCACAAAGGUCUGCAGCUUCACUCCUGAAGCCAGCAAAGACCACGAACCCACCAGGAAGAAGGAACAACUCCAGACACGCAGCCUUAAGAGCUGUAACACUCACUGCCAAGGUCUUCAGCUUCACUCCUGAGCCAGCCAGACCAUGAACCCACCAGAAGGAAAAAACUCGGAACACAUCCCAACAUCAGAAGGAACAAACUCUGGACAUGCCGCCUUUAAGAACUGUAACAACGCAAGGGUCCGCGGCUUUAUUCUUGAAGUCAGUAAGACCAAGAACCCAAUUCCGGACACGUUUGGACCACUGGUGCAUAUGAGAAGAGAAGACACAAGAAAACACACAUGGAAGAGAGUGAUGAAGGCGAAGACCGGAGUGAUGUAGCUCCAAGCCACAGAAUGUCAGAGAUCGCCAGGAGCCACCUCCGGGAUAAGGCAAGGAAGGAUUCUUUCCUAGAGCCUUCUGAGAGAGCACGACCCCACUGACACCUUAACUUUAGACUUCUAGCCUCCAGAAUCGCAAGAGAAUAAAUUUCUGUUGUUUUAAGCCACCCAAUUUGUGGUAAUUUGUUAGGGCAGCCCUGGGAAACUAAGACGCCCUAAGACAAACUCACCUAAUGUCUGCUGAGAAUUGCUCAGAUAUUCUAAAUGUCCGUGGAUGUCUCAUGCUUCCAGAAUUAAUUUGAAAAUAUUCUAACACUUAGGGGCACCAAAGGGGCUUUAGCAAGGAGGUAACUGUUCACUUGAGACACAGUCAGGGAGUCAUGGACUCUAGGGUCUUCCAGGGGCCCAUGGAGCCAGUGAGCUGGCCCAAAUCCAGGGUUCCCUAAUGCAUCUUCUCAUCACUUCAUUUCCUUUCCAUUAGUGGCGGUGGAGGACAUGACUUUUAUCUUUAGUGCCAAAGACACUAAGAGAAUGAACUCUUCCUGGUAACUAAUUAAGGUUUUAUUGCCUUCUCUCCCAUCAUCUCCUCUCUUUUCUAUUGUUUCUGUGCAGGUCCCACUUUCUGUAGUUGUUCUGGUUUUGACUUCUGUUUUCUCUUCCUUUCAGCAGAUGGAAAGGCAGCUCAACAUCUGAGAAGCCAGUCUUACUCCCUGCAGGCAACAGCUGCUUCCAGAAAACAGCCCUGUAAUUGUCACCAUCAAAUCCAUAUAUUUUCAAGGGAAGUUGGUCCCACACCAGAAGUCAUAGCUGAAUCACCAGCAGUAAUGCAGGGACAUACUGGUUGCUUCUUGGCUUUUCCAACCCUCUGCCAUGCUUGAACAUCUUUGUGAAAGUCCAGGAACAACAAAUAAGCUUAAGGAUAAAAGCCCCCCAGCCAUACCACCACAACCCCCUGUUAAACUCAUGCAUGACUUGUAGAAUCCUUUCCCCACUGUCACUAAAAGGCUUUUUACAUUUUCCCUCCUUAAAACACCAGUUUACUGAAUGGAACGCUAUUUCCUAAAUAUUUGCUACACACACAGCUGUAUAUAGAGUUCCCAGGAGAUGACUUUUUUCUUGUCAUCUUUUAAAACUACAGUUAUAUGUUGAUUUAAUUAUCUUCUCUCUAGAUUACUUCACCAAAGUACAGUUCCUACAGGAAGAUAAUGAUCUGACCUAACCUACUAUUGGCUGAAGGAAGGAGAAAAGCAGCUGAAGAUGUCUGUUGAGUGAUUACCCUCAUAAUCCGUGACUAAGAACAUCCAAAUCAGCAUGGCUUCUUCCUGUCUGAAAUUAUUACUACUUAGGGUUUUUCACGUGUUAUUUCAUUUAUUGAUUAUUCUGUUUUAAACUUGCAAGACGUAUUGUCUCUUCAGAAAUAAAACUUUAUCACUUG